GAGGGAGUAUUUUAGUUUUUUAUUGAGUAUUUUAACCUUUAUUUUAGGUUUUUCUAGAGGAUUUACAUUAAAUUACUCAUGAAUUUUUGGGAAGAAGUUUGUAAUGUUUUAUUAUAGUCAUUAUUUGUCUUACAAUUCCCUAACUAGACAACUCUAUAGUGUGGCAUAGUCUUUUCGUAUAGGUUAGUGUGGGUUGAUCUGAUCAGAAGACACCUCGUAGAAGUUAUAAAAGCAUGAAAAGCAAGAACAUUGAAGAUAUUGAAUUGUACAUAACUUGGGAAAAUUAUAUCUCAAGUCCCAAGCACAUAUCAAAAGUAAAAAGAUCAUGAUAUUGAAUUGUCAUACGCGUGCGAGUGAGAAAUUUUGCCUAUAAUUACGAAUUUUCACCCAGAAAGAAUGAUUCUUAAUCUUAACGGCUCAAAGGAAUAUAUGUAUGAUCCAAGCAGACCAAACAUGGUAAUUUUUAGCCUUGGGCACAAGAUUGAUUCUCUUCACUUUGUGUAUGUUUAAUUUCGAGUACUUUUUAUGAUGAAUUAUUUUACCAUGAGUGAUUGAAAUUUCUAGAUUAUCGUUAAAUGGUGAAUCUCUAUUGAAUUGUUUGAACCAAAUAAUCUAAGAAGUCCUCUUUCAACACAAUUUGAAUUAUGUUUAUUUAAUAGAUCUUGUUAGUAAUGCUUUUCAAUUUCUAAUCAACUUUGAAUUUUAAAUAAGUGCUUCUUGGGAGGUGAUGACACCUCGUUAUAUGAUGUUUUAGCUAGGUUUUUUUUAAGUAAUUUUAAUAAGCAUUUGGAAAAAAAUUAAAAGGAGUUUUAGAUGAGUUUCUCAUGGUUUAAGAGAUAUUUUGUAUUAUUUUGAUUUUAGUCCUUGUAAUUCUAUUUCAUCCCCUAAUUAGGCACACUUCAUAUAUAUUUUGAGUCUGUCUAUUGAUAAAUUAUAUAAAUCAACAAAGCAAAACAUCUAAUGGAAGUUAUGGAAGGUAAAGAGUGAAGAUCGACGAAGGUAUUGGAAGAUUUUGAGGGCAAUACAAAUUGGGAAAAUUUUAUCCUAUGUUCCAAGACUUGUCAAGGAAGGAGAAACACUUGAAGAAUGGAGGAAAAACAACAAAUUUUGCCAUGCUGAAGUCCAAAGCUCCCCCAGUGCAUGACACCUGCAGAAGGACAGUUGACCACCAUCCAAAGCACUUCAGGUGCAAACCCAACUGAGAAAAUGCAUAUUUAAAGAUAUUUGUGCACAUAUAAAUUUUCGUUCAUAACUUGAUGGUUUAAGGCGAAGGCAAGCUACGACAUCAAAGAGGAAUCACACGUCCUCCAACUUGUUCUUAUAGUAUGUUUUGUUUUUCUUUGGUUAUGUAUUUUGUUACCAUGAGUAGUUAACUACCUUUUGAUCAGGGUUCUAAGACGAAUCUCUAUAUUUAUGUUAUAUUUAAUUUUCAUAUGUUUUACGCUUAAUACUUUGACAAACUAGGAAGUGAUGCCCCUAAAAUUUGCAAUGAUCUUAGGUUAGGGUUCAUUAGAUUGGAGUUUUGCUUUGACCAUUGUUAUUACAUAUAAAUUUUGCUCA
rnacentral:lncRNA from 1 species